UACGUAGGGUGCAAGCGUUAAUCGGAAUUACUGGGCGUAAAGCGUGCGCAGGUGGCUAUGUAAGUCUGCUGUUAAAGAGUCUAGCUCAACUAGAUAAGAGCAGUGGAAACUACAAGGCUAGAGUACGUUCGGGGCAGAGGGAAUUCCUGGUGUAGCGGUGAAAUGCGUAGAGAUCAGGAAGAACACCAGUGGCGAAGGCGCUCUGCUAGGCCGUAACUGACACUGAGGGACGAAAGCUAGGGGAGCGAAUGGG
rnacentral:rRNA from 1 species